AUACUUACCUGGCGUAGGGGUUACCGUGAUCAAGAAGGCGGUUCCCCCAGAGCGAGAAUCAUCCAUUGCACUGCGGAUGAGUUGACCUCUGCGAUUAUCCCUAAUGUGGAUAACUCGGACGCGUAAUUUUUGGUAGUGGGGACUGCGUACGCGCCGUCCCCC